UACAGAGGUCCCGAGCGUUGUUCGGAUUCACUGGGCGUAAAGGGUGCGUAGGUGGUGAGGUAAGUCGGAUGUGAAAUCUCCAGACUCAACCUGGAAACUGCAUUGGAAACUACCUUGCUGGAGGACUUGAGGGGGGAUUGGAAUACUUGGUGUAGCAGUGAAAUGCGUAGAUAUCAAGUGGAACACCAGUGGCGAAGGCGAAUCCCUGGAAAAUACCUGACACUGAGGCACGAAAGCUAGGGGAGCAAACAGG
rnacentral:rRNA from 1 species